rnacentral:rRNA from 1 species
UACGUAGGGGGCGAGCGUUGUCCGGAUUUAUUGGGCGUAAAGGGCGCGUAGGCGGCGAUCCGAGUCAGAUGUGAAAGUCCUGGGCUUAACCUGGGGACUGCAUUUGAUACUGGAUUGCUUGAAUUCGGGAGAGGAUAGCGGAAUUCCCAGUGUAGAGGUGAAAUUCGUAGAUAUUGGGAAGAACACCGGUGGCGAAGGCGGCUAUCUGGACCGACAUUGACGCUGAGGCGCGAAAGCGUGGGGAGCAAACAGG